rnacentral:rRNA from 1 species
UACGUAGGGUGCGAGCGUUAAUCGGAAUUACUGGGCGUAAAGCGUGCGCAGGCGGUUCGUUGUGUCGGCGGUGAAAGCCCCGGGCUCAACCUGGGAAUGGCCGUUGAAACUGGCGAACUGGAGUGUGGCAGAGGGGGGUGGAAUUCCGCGUGUAGCAGUGAAAUGCGUAGAGAUGCGGAGGAACACCGAUGGCGGAGGCAGCCCCCUGGGCUAACACUGACGCUCAGGCCCGAAAGCGUGGGGAGCAAACAGG